GACGAACGCUGGCGGCGUGCUUAACACAUGCAAGUCGAACGGAAAGGCCUGCUUUCCCUUGUGGAUUGCGGGUACUCGAGUGGCGAACGGGUGAGUAACACGUGAGUGAUCUGCCCCCAACUUGGGUAUAAGCCUGGGAAACUGGGUCUAAUUCCCGAUAGGACUGCAGGGUGGUGCCUGUGGUGGAAAACGAUUUUCUAGUGGUUGGGGAUGAGCUCGCGGCCUAUCAGCUUGUUGGUGGGGGAAUGGCGUACCAAGGCGGCGACGGGUAGCCGGCCUGAGAGGGUGGACGGCCACAUUGGGACUGAGAUACGGCCCAGACUCCUACGGGAGGCAGCAGUGGGGAAUAUUGCACAAUGGGCGGAAGCCUGAUGCAGCGACGCCGCGUGGGGGAUGACGGCCUUCGGGUUGUAAACUCCUUUCGACCGCGAGGAAGCCACCUGGUUGGAAGGGUGGUGACGGUAGUGGUAGAAGAAGCACCGGCUAACUACGUG
rnacentral:rRNA from 1 species